AGCGAACGCUGGCGGCAGGCUUAACACAUGCAAGUCGAGCGGGCACUUUCGGGUGUCAGCGGCGGACGGGUGAGUAACGCGUGGGAACGUGCCCUCUGGUUCGGAAUAACUCAGGGAAACUUGAGCUAAUACCGGAUACGCCCUUUUGGGGGAAGGCUGGCGGCCGUAGGAUCGGCCCGCGUCUGAUUGGCUAGUUGGUGGGGUAACGGCACACCAAGGCGACGAUCAGUAGCUGGUCUGAGAGGAGGAUCAGCCACACUGGGACUGAGACACGGCCCAGACCCCUACGGGAGGGAGCAGUGGGGAAUAUUGGACAAUGGGGGCAAGCCUGAUCAAGCCAUGCCGGGUGAGUGAUGAAGGCCUUAGGGUUGUAAAGCUCUUUUAUCCGGGACGAUAAUGACGGUACCGGAGGAAUAAGCCCCGGCUAACUUCGUG
rnacentral:rRNA from 1 species